rnacentral:rRNA from 1 species
CCUACGGGAGGCAGCAGUAGGGAAUUUUCCACAAUGGGCGAAAGCCUGAUGGAGCAACGCCGCGUGGGUGAAGAAGGUCUUCGGAUCGUAAAACCCUGUUGUUAGAGAAGAAAGUGCGUGAGAGUAACUGUUCACGUUUCGACGGUAUCUAACCAGAAAGCCACGGCUAACUACGUGCCAGCAGCCGCGGUAAUACGGAGGUGGCAAGCGUUAUCCGGAUUGAUUGGGCGUAAAGGGAACGCAGGCGGUCUUUUAAGUCUGAUGUGAAAGCCUUGGGCUUAACCGGAGUAGUGCAUUGGAAACUGGGAGACUUGAGUGCAGAAGAGGAGAGUGGAACGCCAUGUGUAGCGGUGAAAUGCGUAGAUAUAUGGAAGAACACCAGUGGCGAAAGCGGCUCUCUGGUCUGUAACUGACGCUGAGGUUCGAAAGCGUGGGUAGCAAACAGGAUUAGAUACCCCGGUAGUC